rnacentral:misc_RNA from 1 species
AACACUGUUAACCUGCGGUACCUGCGGAAGGAUCAUUAUCGAGUUGAGGGUCGCCCUCGCGCGCCCGAACCUCCCAACCCUGUGUCUACCACACCUUGUCGUUGCUUCGGCGGACCGGCCGCGCGUUUUCGUGACCAACUGGUCGCACGCCGGCCGCCGGGGGCCCUUCGUGCCCCUGGAGAGCGUCCGCCGAUGGCCCAACCACACAAACUCUUGUACCGAAACGUGUCGUCUGAACGA